rnacentral:pre_miRNA from 1 species
AGUGGAAUAGUUGGGUCAGAUGGUGGUUCCUUUUCAACUUUUCUGAGGAAUCACCAUACUGUUCUUCAUAAUGGUUGCAUCAAUUUGCAGUCCCAUCAGCAAU